rnacentral:rRNA from 1 species
UGAGGAAGGAGAAGUCGUAACAAGGUUUCCGUAGGUGAACCUGCGGAAGGAUCAUUGUCGUAUCCCGGCUCGGCACACUCGCGAACUGUCCCCAAUCCCGUCCUCGGUACGACGCCCCCCGCCCGCGGCCGCGCGCGGGACGCCGACCGACGAACCUUCUCCGGCGCGGUCCGCGCCAAGGAACACCGACCCACGAGAACGCCCGCGCCGUCCUCGCUCCGUGCCUGGCCGCGCGGGCGCUCCCACGUACAGCCGUAAUAAAUCUUAACGACUCCCGGCAACGGAUAUCUAGGCUCUCGCAUCGAUGAAGAACGUAGCGAAAUGCGAUACGUGGUGUGAAUUGCAGAAUCCCGUGAACCAUCGAAUCUUUGAACGCAAGUUGCGCCCGAGGCCGUCAGGCCGAGGGCACGCCUGCCUGGGCGUCACGCCCCGCGUCGCUCCCACUCCCCGCCGCCCGCACCGCGCGGCGGCGGCGGCCGUGGGACGCGGAGAUUGGCCUACCGUGCUGCGGCGCGGCGGGCCGAAGUGCUCGAACCCUUCCCCGUGCGUGGAGCGAGAACGCGGCGAGUGGUGGAUUGGAUCGGACCGACCGACUCGUCAUCGUCGCCGUGCCCUUCUCGCCCCGCCGCCCGCCGGGCGGGAUUCACGAAACCCAGCCGCGAGCGGCCGUUCGGAGGCGCCGCGCGCCGCCGACGCCCGCUCCGACCGCGACCCCAGGUCAGGCGGGGCCACCCGCUGAGUUUAAGCAUAUCAAUAACCGGAGGAA